AAGGUGGCAUUGAUGACGUGAUCCAACACUGUGAUACCGUUGUCUUCACAUCACCUCCCUAUAUAUAUAGGAGUGGCGUCCCUUCACCUGGCAGACUUGAGGGCGUCUGUUGUUGCCAUUGACUGCGUCUUGUACACGAAUACGACGACCCUAGAAAAGACCUCGCGGACGAAGAGUUUCUCACCAGACGGCCACAGACAGCUGCUGACUGCACCACACCUGGCAAACACCUGCAGAUCCGUUACGCCGGUUGGACUUCGCUUUCUGAACACAAGCAUGGCAGGUGUCCAGCUGUUCACAACUCUUCUCCUGAUGACUGUCGCCAUGGUUACCAUAGCAACUGCUCUUCCUUCUGGUCAUAAACUGCUGGACACCUUGAGCCAGGACUCCGCUGCACGACUGGUUGGUCACGGACGAGUCACCAGGGAUGUGCCGAGACUGUCCGUUGACCUGUCUCUCGGCACCCUGGCCAAUGCGAUUCGCCAGGAGGAACUGGCCGAUGACUUGGAGGACCUGCAGCUGAUGAAGCAGAUCGGCAAGAGGAACUUCGCAGAGCCCGCUACUUCCAACGCCUUGCGCCUCCGCAACAGCGACGAUGUCUAGGAAUCGCUUGCGAGAAAUCUAGUGCCUGGGAGAAACGGAGCUCUGCAGGGUGAAAGCCUUAAGGAGUCGUCUUUUUGCCAAGAAGAAAACUUAAAUAAAAUCAAUUAGAUUAGAAAUCGGCUUUAACCUUGCAUGAAGGAUAUCUCAGCGAUUUCUCCUUUUGGCUUGAUAAAACUGGAAAAAUAAACAUUAAACACCGUUAAUAUGCUUAUACAUUUGUGAGAGUUUG